rnacentral:rRNA from 1 species
GACGAACGCUGGCGGCGUGCUUAACACAUGCAAGUCGAACGGAAAGGCCCCUUUGGGGGUACUCGAGUGGCGAACGGGUGAGUAACACGUGAGUAACCUGCCCUUGACUUCGGGAUAACAUCCGGAAACGGGGGCUAAUACCGGAUAGGAAUCCUUGCUGCAUGGUGUGGGUUGGAAAGAUUUUGUGGUGUUGGAUGGGGUCGCGGCGUAUCAGAGUGUGGGGGGGGUAGAGGGUCACCCAGGCUUUGACGGGUAGCCGGCCUGAGAGGGCGACCGGGCCCAUUGGGGCUGGGAUACCGCCCAAACUCCCACCGGGGGCCGCAGUGGGGAAUAUUGCACCAUGGACGGAAGUCUGAUGCAGCAACGCCGCGUGCGGGAUGACGGCCUUCGGGUUGUAAACCGCUUUCCAUUGUGACGAAGCUUUUUUGUGACGGUAGCAGCAGAAGAAGCACCGGCUAACUACGUG